GAGCGCCGUACGCACUACAGAGCGGCAGACGGGAGAGUCACACGUGGGAACGUGCCCUUUGGUCCGGCAACAACCCAGGUGUAACUUGGGCUAAUACCGGAUAAGUCCGUAAGGAGAAAUGCAUUUAUGUGCCAAAGGAUCGGCCCUCGCGUCUGAUUACGCAUACCUUGGUGAGGUCACGGCUCACCAAGGCAACGAUCUGUAUACUGGUCUGAGAGGAUGAUCAACACCUCACCUGGCGUCUGAGACACGGCCCACUACUACUUACGGGAGGCCAGC
rnacentral:rRNA from 1 species